GACGUAGGGCGCAAGCGUUGUCCGGAUUUAUUGGGCGUAAAGAGCUCGUAGGCGGCUUGUCGCGUCGACUGUGAAAACCCGUGGCUCAACCAUGUGGUCUGCAGUCGAUACGGGCGGGCUGGAGUUCGGUAGGGGAGACUGGAAUUCCUGGUGUAGCGGUGAAAUGCGCAGAGUAUCAGGAGGAACACCGGUGGCGAAGGCGGGGUCUCUGGGCCGAUACUGACUGAGGAGCGAAAAGCGUGGGGGAGCAACAGGAUUAGAAAACCCCUG
rnacentral:rRNA from 1 species